rnacentral:tRNA from 2 species
GCCGCCAUGGUGAAAUCGGUAGACACGCUGCUCUUAGGAAGCAGUGCUAGAGUAGCGGGGUUCGAGUCCGAGUAGCGGCA